rnacentral:tRNA from 1 species
GGAGAGAUGGCUCAGUGGUUAAGAGCACUGGACUGCUCUUCCAGAGGUCCUGAGUUCAAUUCCCAGCAACCACA